UAUGUUUUAUUACUUAUAUGUUAAUCAUAUUGUGUAUGAGGGAAUGACCAAAAGCAAUGAAAAAAAUGAAUUUUGAAGAAAUGUCUCAGAAGAAGAGCAGAUGGAACCCCAGAGGAUAGCGGGGGAUGGUAUGGAGUUUCCAGCCAGGCUCAAAAGGCAGUUGGGAGAAAAACCAAGAGUUCUUUUCAUCUUGGGCUCCUUGGAGCUGAGAGGGAGAACUACCUUCUGCUGUGAAGAUACAAAUCUCUCAACCUUUUUACCUGAGCCGCAGAAGAUCUUAUCUCUCAACUGGUGGCAAAUCUUUAGGAUAAGGAUUCUCUUUUCCAUUAGGGGAAUCCAAAGCUUACUUCUAAAGAAGAUUCCCUGGUUCAAAUCCUCAAGAUCUGUAUAGGGAAAAUACCUAGGGAUUUCCUUUUCCCCCUGUCCUGUUUACCUUUCAACCCUUUAUAUCUAAAUAAAAUAGACAUCUUAAAUUUAAUAGAAACUUGAAUCAGAUUCAAAUGUGUUAGAAGGGGAACUUCAAAAUAUCACUUCAAGAAGGAGGCUGAAGGGAAAAUUUCACUUACCCUUUUAGACUAGUCAAACUGACUCCAUUGGUCAACAGCUCAACUUGGGGAAGGAGGAGGAAGGAAGGGUCACAUUGUGUUCAAUCCCCAGGUAGCUGAACUUUGGUUACUCCUUCAAAGUCCCCCACUAAUAUAAUAUAAGGGUCAGAUUAGUUGGCUACUGAGGUCUCUUAUGCCUCUGAAGUUCUGUAAUUUUUUCUUGCUUGCAAUUGGAUUGGCUUUGUGUCUGACCUUUCAAGAAAUCUUGGGAGAAAGGUGCUAUUAUUAUCCCCAACUUACACAUGAAGAAACAGAGGCAAGCAGAGUUUAAGUGAUAUUACUCAGGAGUGUACAGCUAGUAAGUUUCUUAAACUAGAUUUGAACUCAUGUUUUCCUGAAUCUGGCCCUGGCACUCUACUAUGCUAACUACCUGUCUUACAAUGAUGAAGAGGUGGAUUUGCUCUCAUUUGAGUAAAAUGUAUGAAUUUAUUUCAACAAUUCAAUUUAAGAAACAUUCAUUAAAUACCAAUUACGUAUAGACCAAUAACUAAAAUAUUGUUUGUCCUACCACAGACCACACCCUAAGGCCAUGAUGGUGAACCUUUUAAAGACCAUGUGUUCUGCCCUCCACCCGGUGCCAAAUGCUACCCUGCCUUUACCCCACACAGGGAAGGGAGAAAGCACUCCCAUUGGGCUGCUGGGCAGAGGGGUGGGUGAAGUAAGGAAUGAAUGUCCUCAGUGAGUGCAGAGAGGGGGAGGCCAGUGGCCCUAGCACUCCACUCCCAUCCAACUCUGCUGCCUGUGAGCCACCCACCUUACCUCACACAGGAGAGGGAGGAAGUUCUCCCAUUAGGCAGCUGAGCAGAGGGGUGGAUAAUGUAAAAAAUGUCAUCAGGCAUGAUGGAGAGGGGGAAGGGAGCAGCUCUGCCUGAGUCCCUCUGCCUUUCUAGUAACAAACUCUGGAGGGGGUAGGGUGGCAUGUAUGUCCACAGAGUGCAUGUUGCAUGUCUCCUUUGGCACAUAUCAUAGUUUUGUCAUUACUGCCUUAGGGCAAGGAGCAUGAAACAAGAUUUCAGGUGACGUUGUGUUAUCUCUUUUCUGAAGGUCUCAAGAAGGGAUUGAACUAUGUGAUCUUCAAUGUAUCUUCUCAAACUGAAGCAUAAAGAUGUUUUUGGAUUCUAAAUGAGGAUUCAUCUCAGGCAUUCAGAGUGGGGCACUACCCUAUAGAAGGGAGAGAUGGACUCAGGGGCACCAGUGUGAACCAUUGCUGGGAAGGUUUUCAUGAUGGAAAGAGUGGGAGGACAGGGUAGUAGAAGACUGCUUUUUCUAGUAUAAAGCAAGGCAAGUGGGAAAGGGAGAAGAGCUUAGCACACCAUUGAAUAUCUCCUUAUUUUAAUUAAUUAUUUAUGCUAGCUAGAAGCUAAGCUCCAAUUUUUCUAUACUGAUGCUCUUCAGGUGCUACCUACAGUAUCUGAAUCCAACACUUUGGGGCAAAACUCUAGUUAUCCUGAAUGACUUACAUCUCUGACCAUUUGCAAAGUAUUAUGGAAGGUGUAAUGAUAAAAAACAGCAGAGACCCAGGCAGCUGGGUAAAGAGGGCAUCUAUUGAUCAGCCACAGUCUAGCCCCUGUAUUUCUUCCCAUUAGACCUCAGGCUAGCUUCCUACUUCAGUCUAACAGUAAUCUAAACAUCACCUAAUGUCUUUCUUUGGAAUCUGACUCAAGAAAGGCCAUCUUUAACCAAAGCACACCUGUUUUCUAUAUUAUAUUAGAUAAGAAAAAUAUUGUGGGUCAAGUAUUAACUGUGUGAGGGGGAACAUAAAGGGUUUACUAAUCAGCUCCAUUAUUUUAUUUCUUUAUUUCUACCUGAAGUUAAAUUGUUUACAAGAUAAGAACUUCAAAAAUGACAGAAAAGGAUAAUCUGAUAUUGAUACUGAAUACAUUGCGAAAAAAGAAAAUACUCUUCUAGAUGACAAAAUUGGUAUAACCAGAAAUCCAAAAUCCUAGAAGAAAAUGCAGAAAAAUCUUGUCAAUUUUUAGUGAUGAGGAAACUGAGGAUCAAGGAGUUUACAUGAAUUGGCAAUGACUACAUGAAUAAAAAUGUCAGAGAAGAAAUACAAUUCUAACUUUCUAACUGUUGGGCCAAUGUUCUUUUCUAAGGAAGGGGAGAGGAAAGGAAGGAAAGAACAUGAGAGGGAGGAUCUCUUUUCUCUUAUCCUAUGAAAGAAGAUAAAGGUACUAAUGCCUUAUGAUAAUUCUGCCUUCUGACUUCAGUGACUCCUUUCUCCCAUUUAAGUGUUAAUGAAAGCUUCCUUGAGGAUCAAAAGUGCUUCUGUCACAUGCUGAGAGGUCUGUCCCAAGUCUUCCUCAGCAGCUCUAUCAGAAUAACAUAAUAUUUCUCUUUAUAAACAUGUAAAUAAUCACCCUACUGAAUGAAUUUGUCCUAUAUUCUUGCAAACUCAAAGUUUCUUCAAAAGAAUAAUAGAAAAGCAAAUAUGCAAGAGUAGAUUUUAAUAUUUGGAAUUGUGGUUCAUGUUUUGCCCCAAAACUAAUUUUCUAGAUUAAUGAAUCAUAUCUGAUAAUGUAAAUUAGAAAUCACUUUUACAGCAUGGAAAACAACAGAACUAAAUUGCAAUGGCUUAUUGUAAAUGGCACAGCCCUGACUACAUGUCACACAUAUUUAACCAUAGCAAUGUUUCUGAGCAUGGUUGAAAUUGUUAUUUCUAAGAUAGAGAUGCUAUGGGCCAAGAUGUACAGCACAUACUCCCACAAAAAGAAUGAGGUUCUUUUGUUCCUUUCCAUGGAACUACUCCAUCCAGAAAAAGAUUCCAUCUGUAGUACAGAAUAUAAUAGUAAUACCAUGGGCAAGAAUAAUAUUACUAUGCAUUGAAAUAUCACCAUUAUUUCUAAUAAUAAUUACAGGCAUAAAUUAAUAAAGUUUUUUUAUUAAAUACUUAAUGUGCAAAGCAUUGUGCUAAGCUCUGUGGAAACAAAGAUAAAAAUAAAGUAGUGCCUGCUUUCAAAGAGCUCCCAUUCCAUUGGGGAAGACAAUACUUUCAGCUGCCAGUUAGGUGAAAAGGUCCCAUUGUCCUUAGUGUGCAGGAUCAAAAUAGAUUUUUGUUUCUUUAAAAAAAAAACAAUACAACUUACACUGUUAAAAUCUCAUCAAUUUCCAGUGUUGCAUCAUUUGAUAAUACCAAGGACUUUGGAGUCGAAUCUUUCUUUUCAGGGUCUUCAAUAGCUGUGACUGUAGUAUUUCAGGAAGAGUUUGCAUGCUGCGUUUCCAUGGGAUAUGCUUACCAGAGUGAUGGUGGAAAGUAUUGCGAUGCAAGCAUUGCAAUUCCUAAGGUUCAUGGGUUCAUAGUCCUCCACUGUCUUCAUCAGAGUCUGAAAGAUAUGGCUGUCAAGAUCAUGAAGAUAGUGAGAGUGGUGUGACUUUCCUGGCACUUUCCAAGGUGAUAAAGGCAAUAAGAACAUCAGAGAGGAUUUGAUCUCAAAUCAUCUCAAAUGAUCAAAACUCCAAAUCUUGUGUAUUCCUAGCAGACAUUUCCAUAGC